UAUACAUAUACAUAUACAUAUACAUAUACAUAUACAUAUACAUAUACAUAUAUACAUAUACAUACACAUAUACAUAUACACAUACACAUAUACAUAUACCUAAAGUCGGUCGCGCAGGAUCUACAUAUACAUAUACAUAUACAUAUACAUAUACAUAUACAUAUACAUAUACAUAUACAUAUACAUAUACAUAUACAUAUACAUAUACAUAUACAUAUACAUAUACAUAUACAUAUACAUAUACAUAUACAUAUACAUAUACAUAUACAUAUACAUAUACAUAUAUACAUAUACAUAUACAUAUAUACAUAUACAUAUACAUAUACAUAUACAUAUAUACAUAUACAUAUACAUAUACACAUAUACAUAUACAUAUACACAUAUACAUAUACAUAUACACAUAUACAUAUACAUAUACACAUAUACAUAUAUACAUAUAUAUUUCAUUAAAACCUGACUAUAUAUUGACGAGACAUGUAAUUAUAUGUAUCUCCGCAG
rnacentral:lncRNA from 1 species